UCCUCGGUAGCUCAAUGGCAGAGCAGCCGGCUGUUAACCGGCAGGUUAUUGGUUCGAGUCCAAUCCGGGGAG
rnacentral:tRNA from 1 species